AUCUGGUUUUUUCCUGCCAGUAGUCAUACGCUCGUCUCAAAGAUUAAGCCAUGCAUGUGUAAGUAUAAAUAAUUUUACUUUGAAACUGCGAAUGGCUCAUUAUAUCAGUUAUAGUUUAUUAGAAAUAUUUUACUACUUGGAUAACCGUAGUAAUUCUAGGGCUAAUACAUGAGUAAAACCUCAACUUCGGAAGAGGUGUGUUUAUUAGUAUGAAAACCAUAUAUCUUCGGAUAUAAUAGUGAGUAAUAAUAACCUUUCAUAUCGUAUGUCGUAAGAUAACGAUAGUUCUUUCAAGUUUCUGCCCUAUCAGCUUUCGAUGGUAGUAUAUGGGACUACCAUGGCAGUAACGGGUAACGAAGAAUUUGGGUUCGAUUUCGGAGAGGGAGCCUGAGAGAUGGCUACCACAUCCAAGGAAGGCAGCAGGCGCGUAAAUUACCCAAUCCUGACAUAGGGAGGUAGUGACAAUAAAUCACAAUGCGGAACUUUUAGUUUUGCAAUUGGAUUGAGAACAAUGUACAAAUGUUAUCGAUAAACAAUUGGAGGGCAAGUCUGGUGCCAGCAGCCGCGGUAAUUCCAGCUCCAAUAGCGUAUAUUAACGUUGUUGCAGUAAAAAAAGCUC
rnacentral:rRNA from 1 species